rnacentral:ncRNA from 1 species
AACUGCUAGGGGUGCCUAAUGGCUGAGAGAUAGUUUAUAACUAUUAACCCUUAUACCUGAUCUGGAUAAUACCAGCGUAGGAAAGCUAUUAAAUAU